UACGGGGGGGGGCAAGCGUUGUUCGGAAUUACUGGGCGUAAAGGGCUCGUAGGUGGCCAACUAAGUCAGACGUGAAAUCCCUCGGCUUAACCGGGGGAACUGCGUCUGAUACUGGAUGGCUUGAGUUUGGGAGAGGGAUGCGGAAUUCCAGGUGUAGCGGUGAAAUGCGUAGAUAUCUGGAGGAACACCGGUGGCGAAGGCGGCAUCCUGGACCAAUACUGACACUGAGGAGCGAAAGCCAGGGGAGCAAACGGG
rnacentral:rRNA from 1 species